GAUCCUGGCUCAGGACGAACGCUGGCGGCGUGCUUAACACAUGCAAGUCGAACGAAGAGCGAUGGAAGCUUGCUUCUAUCAAUCUUAGUGGCGAACGGGUGAGUAACGCGUAAUCAACCUGCCCUUCAGAGGGGGACAACAGUUGGAAACGACUGCUAAUACCGCAUACGAUCCGACCUCGGCAUCGAGGGAUGGACUGAAAGGUGGCCUCUAUUUAUAAGCUAUCACUGAAGGAGGGGA
rnacentral:rRNA from 1 species